rnacentral:rRNA from 1 species
GACAGAGGGUGCAAACGUUGUUCGGAAUUACUGGGCGUAAAGCGCGUGUAGGCGGCCAUGCAAGUCGGAUGUGAAAGCCCUUGGCUCAACUGAGGAAGUGCACCCGAAACUGAGUGGCUAGAGUACGAAAGAGGGUCGCGGAAUUCCCGGUGUAGAGGUGAAAUUCGUAGAUAUCGGGAGGAACACCGGUGGCGAAGGCGGCGACCUGGGUCGAUACUGACGCUGAUGCGCGAAAGCGUGGGGAGCAAACAGG